rnacentral:misc_RNA from 1 species
CCUACGGGUGGCUGCAGUAGGGAAUCUUCCGCAAUGGACGAAAGUCUGACGGAGCAACGCCGCGUGAGCGAAGAAGGCCUUCGGGUCGUAAAGCUCUGUUGUAAGGGAAGAACAAGCAUCGGUUAACUGCCGGUGCCCUGACGGUACCUUACCAGAAAGCCACGGCUAACUACGUGCCAGCAGCCGCGGUAAUACGUAGGUCCCGAGCGUUGUCCGGAUUUAUUGGGCGUAAAGCGAGCGCAGGUGGUUUAAUAAGUCUGAAGUUAAAGGCAUUGGCUCAACCAAUGUACGCUUUGGAAACUGUUAAACUUGAGUGCAGAAGGGGAGAGUGGAAUUCCAUGUGUAGCGGUGAAAUGCGUAGAUAUAUGGAGGAACAACGGUGGCGAAAGCGGCUCUCUGGUCUGUAACUGACACUGAGGCUCGAAAGCGUGGGUAGCGAACAGGAUUAGAUACCCUGGUAGUC